rnacentral:rRNA from 1 species
CUACGGGGCGCUGCAGUGGGGAAUAUUGGACAAUGGGGGAAACCCUGAUCCAGCAAUGCCGCGUGUGUGAAGAAGGCCUGCGGGUUGUAAAGCACUUUCGGUUGGGAGGACUGCUUCUAGCACUAAUAUUGUUGGAAGUUGACGUUACCUUCAGAAGAAGCACCGGCUAACUCCGUGCCAGCAGCCGCGGUAAUACGAGGGUGCAAGCGUUAAUCGGAAUUACUGGGCGUAAAGCGCGCGUAGGCGGCUAGAUCAGUCGGGUGUGAAAGCCCCGGGCUUAACCUGGGAACUGCAUCCGAUACUGUCUAGCUUGAGUACAGGAGGGGAGAGUGGAAUUCCACAUGUAGCGGUGAAAUGCGUAGAUAUGUGGAGGAACACCAAUGGCGAAGGCAGCUCUCUGGCCUGAUACUGACGCUGAGGUGCGAAAGCGUGGGGAGCAAACAGGAUUAGAUACCCGGGUAGUC